AAGGGUGCGUAGGCGGCAUUUUAAGUCAGUGGUGAAAUCCUGCAGCUUAACUGUAGAACAGCCAUUGAAACUGAAGUACUUGAGUAAUCUUGAAGUAGGCGGAAUGUGUAGUGUAGCGGUGAAAUGCUUAGAUAUUACACAGAACACCGAUUGCGAAGGCAGCUUACUAAGGAUUUACUGACGCUGAUGCACGAAAGCGUGGGGAUCAAACAGGAUUAGAUACCCUGGUAGUCCACGCCGUAAACGAUGAUAACUCGCUGUUGGCGAUACACAGUCAGCGGCUUAGCGAAAGCGUUAAGUUAUCCACCUGGGGAGUACGCUCGCAAGAGUGAAACUCAAAGGAAUUGACGGGGGCCCGCACAAGCGGAGGAACAUGUGGUUUAAUUCGAUGAUACGCGAGGAACCUUACCUGGGCUUAAAUGUGCUAUGACCGCUGGAGAAAUUCGGCUUUUCGCAAGAACAGAGUACAAGGUGCUGCAUGGUUGUCGUCAGCUCGUGCCGUGAGGUGUCGGGUUAAGUCCCAUAACGAGCGCAACCCUUAUGAUUAGUUGCUAACAGGUUAAGCUGAGGACUCUAGUCAGACUGCCACCGUAAGGUGUGAGGAAGGUGGGGAUGACGUCAAAUCAGCACGGCCCUUAUGUCCAGGGCUACACACGUGUUACAAUGGCCGAUACAAAGGGCAGCUACCAGGCGACUGGAUGCUAAUCUCUAAAGUCGGUCUCAGUUCGGAUCGGAGUCUGAAACCCGACUCCGUGAAGCUGGAUUCGCUAGUAAUCGCGCAUCAGCCAUGGCGCGGUGAAUACGUUCCCGGGCCUUGUACACACCGCCCGUCAAACCAUGGAAGCCGAGGGUACCUGAAGUAUGUGACCGCAAGGAGCGUCCUAGGGUAAAAUUGGUGACUAGGGUUAAGUCGUAACAAGGUA
rnacentral:rRNA from 1 species